rnacentral:sRNA from 1 species
AGAGGCUGCUCUGCUGGUGGGGGUGGGGUCACUUAUCUCAGCCCCAGACUGUCAGCUCUCAGGAUUAUCCACCUCGGCUCCUGGUUGCAGCAACUGCUGUGGCAGUAUGUGGAGCGAGCACCUCUGGCUCCCAACUUCUCCUGACUGAGCUGGCCACGCUUCCUUCUCCUCUGUGCCUCAGGUGCUUGCUGAGACUUCUCUGUUGGACUCUAGUGCUCUCUCCUGGAUGUUCUAUUCGAGCUCUGCACCACUAAGCUCUCUACAUGGCCGAGGCACCAGACCAGAAUGCGCCCUUUCGACAGGCAGAGACAGCCAAAGGGGAAAAGAGCUGAUUCAAGGCUGCCAAGUUCCUGCUUCCAGCCCUACCAGCCAGUCACUCACGCCUUGCAAUGAGGAAGCCAGGAGUCCUAUCUAGAGCCUUUCCAUAGUUGUGGGAAAGAAGAUGGAUAAAGUUAUUGUUAAUCUGCAGAGGAAG